UACGUAGGGUGCGAGCGUUGUCCGGAAUUAUUGGGCGUAAAGAGCUUGUAGGCGGUUUGUCGCGUCUGCUGUGAAAAUCCGGGGCUCAACCCCGGACUUGCAGUGGGUACGGGCAGACUAGAGUGCGGUAGGGGAGACUGGAAUUCCUGGUGUAGCGGUGAAAUGCGCAGAUAUCAGGAGGAACACCGGUGGCGAAGGCGGGUCUCUGGGCCGUAACUGACGCUGAGGAGCGAAAGCGUGGGGAGCGAACAGG
rnacentral:rRNA from 1 species